rnacentral:lncRNA from 1 species
UAUAUAAUAUAUAAAAAUAACACUCUGAAUGGUAAGUCUUGUGUAUUAUUAGAAGCACGAAGGUCUUCGUGCUCCUAAGUUGUUUUGGAUGAUGGAGCUUUCGAACUGAUGAUCAACUCCGUUAGACUUGUUCUAGCGUAUUUGAAGUAUUUAGAAAAUGAAUUUUGCGAUUUUUCAAUAUCAUUUAUUUAGCGAUCAAAAGGGUUUAAAAUCAAUGGCUGAAAAUAAAAAUUUCACAAAAAAUGAUGAUAUAGCACUAAAAUUUUCGAUCAGAGAUAUUAUCUUGCUGUAAAUAGUAUAAAAAUUUUUUAUCAAAAUUUCAUCUGAUUUGAAUAUUUCUACACCGUUAAACUUGCAAGCGGUAUAAAUCAAUCAUUAAAAAUUAUUGAUUUUUAUCCCUUUUGAUUCUAGGCAAAUAAUAUCGAAAAAUCGCAAAAAUUAUUUUCUAGAUAUUUCAAACACGCUAGAUCAAGUCUAACGGAGCAUAUCGUCAAUUCAAAAACUCUAUCAUAAAAAACGGCUUAGGAGCACGAAAACUUCUGUACUCCCUUGCACACAAAAUCUACUCUCACUACAAGAAUUAGUAUUUUUAACGACCAAAUUUUAACGACAGUGAUUUUAAUCUACUCUCUCU